rnacentral:tRNA from 1 species
GGAAAGACGGCUGUAGAAGUGUUAAGUUGUAACCUUAGUUAUAGAAAUGUUUCUUCUUUCUA